rnacentral:rRNA from 1 species
UUUGAAGUGUGGACGCCAGUCUGCAUGGAGCCGGCCUUGAAAUACCACCCUUUAAUGUUUGAUGUUCUAACGUGGACCCGUGAUCCGGGUUGCGGACAGUGUCUGGUGGGUAGUUUGACUGGGGCGGUCUCCUCCUAAAGAGUAACGGAGGAGCACGAAGGUUGGCUAAUCCUGGUCGGACAUCAGGAGGUUAGUGCAAUGGCAUAAGCCAGCUUGACUGCGAGCGUGACGGCGCGAGCAGGUGCGAAAGCAGGUCAUAGUGAUCCGGUGGUUCUGAAUGGAAGGGCCAUCGCUCAACGGAUAAAAGGUACUCCGGGGAUAACAGGCUGAUACCGCCCAAGAGUUCAUAUCGACGGCGGUGUUUGGCACCUCGAUGUCGGCUCAUCACAUCCUGGGGCUGAAGUAGGUCCCAAGGGUAUGGCUGUUCGCCAUUUAAAGUGGUACGCGAGCUGGGUUUAGAACGUCGUGAGACAGUUCGGUCCCUAUCUGCCGUGGGCGCUGGAGAACUGAGGGGGGCUGCUCCUAGUACGAGAGGACCGGAGUGGACGCAUCACUGGUGUUCGGGUUGUCAUGCCAAUGGCACUGCCCGGUAGCUAAAUGCGGAAGAGAUAAGUGCUGAAAGCAUCUAAGCACGAAACUUGCCCCGAGAUGAGUUCUCCCUGACCCUUUAAGGGUCCUGAAGGAACGUUGAAGACGACGACGUUGAUAGGCCGGGUGUGUAAGCGCAGCGAUGCGUUGAGCUAACCGGUACUAAUGAACCGUGAGGCUUAACCUUACAACGCCGAAG